GUCCCAACCGCGAUCCUAAGUUUUCGACAAUGUACUUCACCCCCCUGGUUUCAGCACAGAUAUUUUAUGAUUUCGCUUGUUUUUGAGGUAAAAAUCGCACUGAAAAUCUUGAUAUUUUUCUCCUAUAACUUGGUUGAUUUACAAUGUCGAGGAUCCUGCCUUUUUGCGCCGCUCGUAGAUGUAUGAGAUGUACAAGAAGAAUCUUUUUAUUCACCGGUAAGAUUUUUAUAUAUUGUAGAAAAUUUGAAGCAGAAGUACAAACUACAAAGUUUAUAAUACUACGAACAUAAAAGUAUAUGAACAGCAAAUUAUUAGCAGACAUAACAACCUGUAAAUGGUUGGCAAUUCUGUACAUUUUAUUGUUCUUUUGAUUUGGUACUACUACUGCUAUAGCGAUAUUUGCGUAGGGUUUCAUGGCUGGUUAAUAUGAUUUCAAAGUCCUUGCUGUAGUGUCUGCACACUUGUAUUUAUUUAGUAUUUUAGUAUAUUAAAUUUUCCUUGACAAACUUUGAGUGAUAUCCUUGCCAGGUUCUUGCCAGCAGUUGUUUAUAAUUACUGUGUAGUUAUAUGAAAUCUCACUUACAUGACAUGUAGACAAGUGAACAAAUACUUUGCUAACUAGGCGGCUAGGCCAAAGACAUCAGGUUCAAACCAUUCAAUACCCAUUGCAAUCAAGCAAUUACCAUAAACAUAUAAGCCCCCCCCUCAAUAUAAGCCCCCCUGUGUAUAAUCCCAUCAUAUUUACUCAGGCUAUUCCGAAUAUAAGCCCCUCCCCCCUCUAAUGUAAGCCAGGCCUGUGUGUACAAGCCCAUGGGCUUAUAUUAUUUGACAGGGGCCGGUUGUAUCAAGCCCGUUUAGCUUAAUUUCUCAUGAAUCAGUCAACUUAAAUAUUCUGCACUGAAUAUGUAGUUGUAAACAUCAUUCUAUUAAGGUUCAAAACUUCUAGUUUGGUUGUUGAAUGAAUCUAUAGAGUCUGAGUUGCUUUCUAUUUUGAGCUUAACCAACGUUUAAGCUAAACAGGCUUGUUACAAUUGGCUCCAGGUAUAUUUAUUAAUGCAGCUUUAGCCAUACAUAUUAGAAUACAAGCCCAGGGCUAGCUGGCUUACAUUCAGAGGCCGGUUUACAAUAUCUCUCCCAACAUAUAGUUUGUCAGAGUUCUAUAAAUCCCACAGUCAUUAGAGGUAAUAUAGGAAUGAAAGGUGCACAAUAUGUGUGCCAGUCACCUUGGCAUUGACCGGCCAACCUUAUGCUCUGACAAUUAACCUAAAUUGAUUGAUGAUAUGUUUGAGAGCAGUUUCAGGUUUCAGUGGUGGUGUCCCCAGUAUUGGAGUAGAGCUCAAAUUUCAGUUAGAUAUAUUAUUUGUGAUUGUUGUGCCCUUACGAAAAAAGUCUAUAGGUGGCCUAUAUGUGCCUAUAGGAAAUGUUCCAAUUCCCUAUAGAAGCCUUUAGGCAUCUAUAGAGCUCUAUAGGCUUAUAGGCAUCCCUAUAGGUCACCUAUAGAAAAUGUUCCAAUUGCCUAUAAAAACCUAUAGGUUUCCUAUAGGAACCUAUAGACCUGUUGGCCUAUAGGCCAGGCCUAUAGACUUUUUUUGUAAGGGUGAAUCUUCUCACUUAGAUCAUUUGUGAUAUAUUGUAAUUAAAUGUAAAAUGAAACUUUGGGAAGUUAAGAAAUACAAUUAAUUGACAAGACUGUCCCCUUGACAAGUAGAAUUGUCAGGCAUUAGACUGCCUGAGUAAAAUAAUAAGCUUGGGUGCAAUUAACUGCUGUAUGCUUUAAAGUUGGUUGCAUGCUUUAAAGUUGGUUGCAAGCUAGCUGGGCUUAUAAAUGCCAGAACUCAUAUGUGAAAAAUGCUUGGAUCAAUUUAUUUCAUCUGUAAUGAACCCAUUUUUAAUCCUUUAAGUGGCAAUGCGCCCCACUACAAUAUUUUACUCUGUCCAAUGCCAGACAAUUUUACUCGUCAAGUUGAGAGUGCUGCCCCUCAAUGGGUUCAGUUGCAUUGCACCCUACUGUAUAUGUUUGUGUUACUUUGUCUAACGCCAACAAUUUUACUUGUCAACAAGAGAGCACAGUGGUACGUGCUGAAUGGGUUAACAUAUAAAUAAUGUCUACUCUACAGUAAAUUUCCCUGUAAUUGGACUUUGGAGCCUGGUAUAUGUGACUCACUAUUUCUUCAAAGUGUGUUCUAAUGAUACUAGCUGUCACUAUUUUAUAAAUAUAAUUGACAUUUCUCAUUUAGGGUGAUCCGGGAUGUAAGUCAUGUGGACAAGUUCUUUGGAAUGUUCAAAUAACAAGAAUAGUGGUGUUAUAGUAGUGGUGGCACUUGCCAGACCUACCGUAACUGGAAAAACUAACAAUGACUUUUCUCCAAAGUCUUAUAUCAGGCUUUUUUUCAGGGAUUUUUUAGGGCCGUUAAACGGCCCCAAAAACUCAAUCUUGAAUUGAGUUUUGAAACUCAAUCUUCUCACCAAAGUUUCAGUGCAGUGAAAAUGAAGUUGUUUGAGUUAAAUUUGUGACGUGUGGAAAUUAGUUUUCAGUUGGAAACCCGACAAUUAAGAAAAAAUGGCUGGAAUUCAUCUCACAACACAAGAAAAACUAUGCAUUCGCCAUCGUUAACCAGUUUAUAGUGUCCCUCAAUGCCCCUGCUUUAACACAUUCCGUCUCAACUACAUUUGUUGAGUACAAGUGUCAGCCCCCCGGUAGGGGGGGGGGGGGUGCAACCACCACAGCUGUUCAGCUAAACUCAAUCUUCUCUGCAAAAACGGACCCAAGAGAAAAUCCUGAAAAAAACCCUGUUAUUUGUACUACAAGAAAUGGCCCAAGGCAUCAAAACAGGGGACAGCCAAAGAAUCACCCAUGGAGCUACAGUUAUAAUAAUACUCUAUCACAUAUUGUAACUUGAUUGUACAGUUAUAAUUAUUAAUUUGAUAAUUAUUCUUUGACCAAGUUUAAUUAAAAU
rnacentral:lncRNA from 1 species